ACAGUGGACGCGAGCAUCUGUGGCCAAGUUUUUAAGGGCGCACGGUGGAUGCCUUGGCACCAGGAACCGAUGAAGGACGUGGGAGGCCACGAUAGUCCCCGGGGAGUCGUCAACCAGGCUUUGAUCCGGGGGUUUCCGAAUGGGGAAACCCGGCAGUCGUCAUGGGCUGUCACCCGCUGCUGAACACAUAGGCAGUGUGGAGGGAACGCGGGAAGUGAAACAUCUCAGUACCCGCAGGAAGAGAAAACAACCGUGAUUCCGGGAGUAGUGGCGAGCGAAACCGGAUGAGGCCAAACCGUAUGCGUGUGAGACCCGGCAGGGGUUGCGUAUUCGGGGUUGUGGGAUCUCUCUUGAUCAGUCUGCCGGCUGGUCGACGAGUCAGAAACCGUUGAUGUAGGCGAAGGACAUGCGAAAGGUCCGGCGUAGAGGGUAAGACCCCCGUAGUCGAAACGUCAGCGGCUCGUUUGGGAGACACCCAAGUAGCACGGGGCCCGAGAAAUCCCGUGUGAAUCUGGCGGGACCACCCGCUAAGCCUAAAUAUUCCCUGGUGACCGAUAGCGGAUAGUACCGUGAGGGAAUGGUGAAAAGUACCGCGGGAGCGGAGUGAAAUAGUACCUGAAACCGUGUGCCUACAAGCCGUGGGAGCGUCGGGCAAGCACUUGUGCUUGCCUCGUGACUGCGUGCCUUUUGAAGAAUGAGCCUGCGAGUUUGCGGUGUGUUGCGAGGUUAACCCGUGUGGGGAAGCCGUAGCGAAAGCGAGUCCGAAUAGGGCGAUAUAGUAGCGCGCUCAAGACCCGAAGCGGAGUGAUCUAGCCAUGGGCAGGUUGAAGCGGAGGUAAGACUUCGUGGAGGACCGAACCCACCAGGGUUGAAAACCUGGGGGAUGACCUGUGGUUAGGGGUGAAAGGCCAAUCAAACUCCGUGAUAGCUGGUUCUCCCCGAAAUGCAUUUAGGUGCAGCGUCGUGUGUUUCUUGCCGGAGGUAGAGCACUGGAUAGGCGAUGGGCCCUACCGGGUUACUGACCUUAGCCAAACUCCGAAUGCCGGUAAGUGAGAGCGCGGCAGUGAGACUGUGGGGGAUAAGCUCCAUGGUCGAGAGGGAAACAGCCCAGAGCAUCGACUAAGGCCCCUAAGCGUACGCUAAGUGGGAAAGGAUGUGGAGUCGCAGAGACAACCAGGAGGUUGGCUUAGAAGCAGCCACCCUUGAAAGAGUGCGUAAUAGCUCACUGGUCUAGUGAUUCCGCGCCGACAAUGUAGCGGGGCUCAAGCGUACCGCCGAAGUCGUGUCAUUCCAGCAUGUACUCCCAACGGAGGCUGGGAUGGGUAGGGGAGCGUCGUCUGCCGGGUGAAGCAGCCGCGGAAGCGAGUUGUGGACGGUUGACGAGUGAGAAUGCAGGCAUGAGUAGCGAUUCACACGUGAGAAACGUGUGCGCCGAUUGACUAAGGGUUCCUGGGUCAAGCUGAUCUGCCCAGGGUAAGUCGGGACCUAAGGCGAGGCCGACAGGCGUAGUCGAUGGAUAACCGGUUGAUAUUCCGGUACCCGCUGUGAAGCGUCAAACAUCGAAUCCAGUGAUGCUAAGCCCGUGAAGCCGCCGGCUGAGUCUUCGGACGAGGUCGGAGUGGUGGAGCCGGUGACCCGAGCUGGUAGUAGGUGAGUGAUGGGGUGACGCAGGAAGGUAGUCCAUCCCGGCGGUGGUUGUCCCGGGGUAAGGGUGUAGGACGUCAGGUAGGCAAAUCCGCCUGACACAUAGUCUGAGACCUGAUGCCGAGCCGAUUGUGGUGAAGUGGAUGAUCCUAUGCUGUCGAGAAAAGCCUCUAGCGAGUUUCAUGGCGGCCCGUACCCUAAACCGACUCAGGUGGUCAGGUAGAGAAUACCGAGGCGUUCGGGUGAACUAUGGUUAAGGAACUCGGCAAAAUGCCCCCGUAACUUCGGGAGAAGGGGGGCCAUCACUGGUGAUCCAAUUUACUUGGUGAGCUGGGGGUGGCCGCAGAGACCAGCGAGAAGCGACUGUUUACUAAAAACACAGGUCCGUGCGAAGCCGUAAGGCGAUGUAUACGGACUGACGCCUGCCCGGUGCUGGAACGUUAAGGGGACCGGUUAGUCGAGAUUCGUCUCGGCGAAGCUGAGAACUUAAGCGCCAGUAAACGGCGGUGGUAACUAUAACCAUCCUAAGGUAGCGAAAUUCCUUGUCGGGUAAGUUCCGACCUGCACGAAUGGCGUAACGACUUCUCGACUGUCUCAACCAUAGGCCCGUUGAAAUUGCACUACGAGUAAAGAUGCUCGUUUCGCGCAGCAGGACGGAAAGACCCCGGGACCUUUACUACAGUUUGAUAUUGGUGUUCGGUUCGGCUUGUGUAGGAUAGCUGGGAGACUGUGAAGCUCGGACGCCAGUUCGGGUGGAGUCGUCGUUGAAAUACCAGUCUGGUCGUGCUGGAUGUCUAACCUGGGUCCGUGAUCCGGAUCAGGACAGUGUCUGAUGGGUAGUUUAACUGGGCGGUUGCCUCCUAAAGGGUAACGGAGGCGCCCAAAGGUUCCCUCAGCCUGGUUGGCAAUCAGGUGUUGAGUGUAAGUGCACAAGGGAGCUUGACUGUGAGACCGACGGGUCGAGCAGGGACGAAAGUCGGGACUAGUGAUCCUGCGGUGGCUUGUGGAAGCGCCGUGCUCAACGGAUAAAAGGUACCCCGGGAUAACAGCUGAUCUUCCCAAGAGUCACAUCGCCCAAGAUCUUCCCCAAGAGUCCAUAUCGACGGGAUGGUUUGGCACCUCGAUGUCGGCUCGUCGCAUCCUGGGGCUGGAGUCGGUCCCAAGGGUUGGGCUGUUCGCCCAUUAAAGCGGUACGCGAGCUGGGUUUAGAACGUCGUGAGACAGUUCGGUCCCUAUCCGCUGUGCGCGUAGGAGUCUUGAGAAGGGCUGUCCCUAGUACGAGAGGACCGGGACGGACGAACCUCUGGUGUGCCAGUUGUUCUGCCAAGGGCAUGGCUGGUUGGCUACGUUCGGGAGGGAUAACCGCUGAAAGCAUCUAAGCGGGAAGCCUGCUUCGAGAUGAGGACUCCCACCCACUUGAUGGGGUAAGGCUCCCAGUAGACGACUGGGUUGAUAGGCCGGAUCUGGAAGCACAGUAAUGUGUGGAGGUGACCGGUACUAAUAGGCCGAGGGCUUGUCCUCAGUUG
rnacentral:rRNA from 1 species